AUUGAACGCUGGCGGCAGGCCUAACACAUGCAAGUCGAGCGAGCGGCGGACGGGUGAGUAAUGUCUGGGAAACUGCCUGAUGGAGUGGGCUAACUACUGGAAACGGUAGCUAAUACCGCAUACCAUCAGAUGUGCCCCGCUCGGAUUAGCUGGUAGGUGGGGUAACGGCUCACCUAGGCGACGAUCCCUAGCUGGUCUGAGAGGAUGACCAGCCACACUGGAACUGAGACACGGGCCAGACUCCUAAGGGAGGCAGCAGUGGGGAAUAUUGCACAAUGGGCGCAAGCCUGAUGCAGCAAUGAGGCGUGUGUGAAGAAGGCCUUCGGGUUGGAAAGCACUUUCAGCGGGGAGGCGUUACCCGCAGAAGAAGCACCGGCUAACUCCGUGCCAGCCGCCGCGGUAAUAC
rnacentral:rRNA from 1 species